GACGAACGCUGGCGGCGUGCUUAACACAUGCAAGUCGAACGGAAAGGCCUGCUUUCCCUUGUGGAUUGCGGGUACUCGAGUGGCGAACGGGUGAGUAACACGUGAGUGAUCUGCCCCCAACUUGGGUAUAAGCCUGGGAAACUGGGUCUAAUUCCCGAUAGGACUGCAGGGUGGUGCCUGUGGUGGAAAACGAUUUUCUAGUGGUUGGGGAUGAGCUCGCGGCCUAUCAGCUUGUUGGUGGGGUAAUGGCCUACCAAGGCGGCGACGGGUAGCCGGCCUGAGAGGGUGGACGGCCACAUUGGGACUGAGAUACGGCCCAGACUCCUACGGGAGGCAGCAGUUGGGAAUAUUGCACAAUGGGCGGAAGCCUGAUGCAGCGACGCCGCGUGGGGGAUGACGGCCUUCGGGUUGUAAACUCCUUUCGACCGCGAGGAAGCCACCUGGUUGGAAGGGUGGUGACGGUAGUGGUAGAAGAAGCACCGGCUAACUACGUG
rnacentral:rRNA from 1 species